rnacentral:rRNA from 1 species
UACGGAGGGUGCGAGCGUUGUCCGGAAUCACUGGGCGUAAAGGGCGCGUAGGCGGCCUGAUAAGUAGGGGGUGAAAUCCUGCGGCUUAACCGCAGGGCUGCCUUCUAAACUGUCAGGCUGGAGCACAGUAGAGGCAGGUGGAAUUCCCGGUGUAGCGGUGAAAUGCGUAGAGAUCAGGAAGAACAUCGGUGGCGAAGGCGCUCUGCUGGACCAUAACUGACACUCAGGGACGAAAGCUAGGGGAGCGAAUGGG